GAAAAUCAAGAACGUCGACACGAUGAAACGGCAUUCGCAAGUCGGAUUAAAAGUCAGCGACAAAGAUAAGGCCGCGAGAAUUAAAUCGUUCGUUGUCGACCCUCGUAAACCAGAAGCGUUCCCGCUCGACCGAAAAUAUUUUCUUCGAAAGUCUCUGCUCCUUUCUCACCUUCUACCAACUCUUUAAACAUUCGCGACCAACUGUAAUCAGAGUGUCGACAACGAGAGAUU